rnacentral:rRNA from 1 species
UACGGGGGGGGGCAAGCGUUGUUCGGAAUUACUGGGCGUAAAGGGCUCGUAGGCGGCCAACUAAGUCAAACGUGAAAUCCCUCGGCUUAACCGGGGAACUGCGUCUGAUACUGGAUGGCUUGAGUUUGGGAGAGGGAUGCGGAAUUCCUGGUGUAGCGGUGAAAUGCGCAGAUAUCAGGAGGAACACCGGUGGCGAAGGCGGAUCUCUGGGCCAUUACUGACGCUGAGGAGCGAAAGCGUGGGGAGCGAACAGG